rnacentral:rRNA from 1 species
GACGAACGCUGGCGGCGUGCUUAACACAUGCAAGUCGAACGAAGUGGCGAACGGGUGAGUAACGCGUAAUCAACCUGCCCUUCAGAGGGGGACAACAGUUGGAAACGACUGCUAAUACCGCAUACUGAAGGAGGGGAUUGCGUCUGAUUAGCUAGUUGGAGGGGUAACGGGCCAACAAGGCGAUGAUCAGUAGCCGGGCUGAGAGGAUGAACGGGCACAUUGGGACAGGGACACGGCCAAGACGCCUACGGGAGGCAGCAGUGGGGAAUCUGCCGCAAUGGACGAAAGUCUGACGGAGCAACGCCGCGUGGGUGAUGACGGCCUUCAGGUUGUAAAGCUCUGUUAAUCGGGACGCGGUACCGGAAUAGAAAGCCACGGCUAACUACGUGCCAGCAGCCGCGGUAAUAC